UACGUAGGUGGCAAGCGUUGUCCGGAUUUACUGGGCGUAAAGAGCGCGCAGGCGGUCGUUUAAGUCGAAUGUGAAAGCCCCCGGCUCAACUGGGGAGGGUCAUUCGAUACUGAUCGACUUGAAGGCAGGAGAGGGAAGUGGAAUUCCGGGUGUAGUGGUGAAAUGCGUAGAUAUCCGGAGGAACACCAGUGGCGAAGGCGGCAUCCUGGACCAACACUGACACUGAUGAGCGAAAGCCAGGGGAGCGAACAGGAUUAGAGCUACCAUA
rnacentral:rRNA from 1 species